ACGAUGUUCAAACAAGCCGCCACUGAGCCACGGAUGGCGAAUUGGCGGCGGUUUCGUGUGACGAGAUAAUGUGUGCCAGAACAUUUAGUAAUUCGUAGUUUCAAUACAU
rfam:Clostridium sp. CAG:127 genomic scaffold, scf6